rnacentral:rRNA from 1 species
CGCGCAAAGGUAAACGGGAAGAGUUGAACUGCAAGCCUGUAAGAUUCAGCUGGUACGGUUGGUUGGCUAGCUUUGUGGUCCAUAAAAAUAAUGGAUUGCCUCUCCUUGUGGGGGGUGACGGGUGUGUGCUUAAUAUGUGCAACUCGCUGCAUUGUUGGUGCUGCUGGGCCAGUGCACUUCUUUCAGGUCUUCAUCACGACCGGCGCUGCUGUCUGUCUGCUGUUGUCAAACCAGUCGAGCUCGGUCCUUGUGGCCUUGUUUUGCUGGGAUGGCAGGUAGCUUGUUGGCCUCUCGGGGCUUUCGAGUGUAAUAGCCGACUUCAGUGUGAGCUGUGCAGUGUGUCGGAGAUUGCGGUUGUGACGGGUGGCGUGAAUGCUGGCUUUAGUUGGCUUUGGGUUGUUCGCUUCGGUGGCUUCCUGGGGUUGGCUUCGGUUGGUUCUUUGCGUUGCUUUUAAUGGCCGAUAGUCUGUGAUGUAGUGGUAUGCUCUCUUCCCGACCCGUCUUG